rnacentral:rRNA from 1 species
UGGGGGAUUAGUGGCGAACGGGUGAGUAACACGUGAGUAACCUGCCCUUGACUCUGGGAUAAGCCUGGGAAACUGGGUCUAAUACCGGAUACGACCAUCUGGCGCAUGUCAUGGUGGUGGAAAGCUUUUGUGGUUUUGGAUGGACUCGCGGCCUAUCAGCUUGUUGGUGGGGUAAUGGCCUACCAAGGCGACGACGGGUAGCCGGCCUGAGAGGGUGACCGGCCACACUGGGACUGAGACACGGCCCAGACUCCUACGGGAGGCAGCAGUGGGGAAUAUUGCACAAUGGGCGCAAGCCUGAUGCAGCGACGCCGCGUGAGGGAUGACGGCCUUCGGGUUGUAAACCUCUUUCAGUAGGGAAGAAGCGAAAGUGACGGUACCUGCAGAAGAAGCGCCGGCUAACUACGUGCCAGCAGCCGCGGUAAUACGUAGGGCGCAAGCGUUAUCCGGAAUUAUUGGGCGUAAAGAGCUCGUAGGCGGUUUGUCGCGUCUGCUGUGAAAGACCGGGGCUCAACUCCGGUUCUGCAGUGGGUACGGGCAGACUAGAGUGCAGUAGGGGAGACUGGAAUUCCUGGUGUAGCGGUGAAAUGCGCAGAUAUCAGGAGGAACACCGAUGGCGAAGGCAGGUCUCUGGGCUGUAACUGACGCUGAGGAGCGAAAGCAUGGGGAGCGAACAGGAUUAGAUACCCUGGUAGUCCAU